rnacentral:rRNA from 1 species
AUACGGAGGGUCCAAGCGUUAUCCGGAUUCAUUGGGUUUAAAGGGUCCGCAGGCGGGAAAAUAAGUCAGUGGUGAAAGCCUACAGCUCAACUGUAGAACUGCCAUUGAUACUGUUUCUCUUGAGUAUAGAUGAAGUGGGCGGAAUAUAUCAUGUAGCGGUGAAAUGCAUAGAUAUGAUAUAGAACACCGAUUGCGAAGGCAGCUCACUAAACUAUUACUGACGCUCAGGGACGAAAGCGUGGGGAGCGAACAGGAUUAGAAACCCUAGUAGUCC